CUGCGGCCGUUUCUUUGCCAGCUGUGAGGAUGCAGCAGCUUGAUAGCCGGAGAUCGGACGCCUCCCAUCAGUUACCCUUUUCAGCAAUAGAGGCCUUGGAUGCCUUUCUACCUGCGUUGCAUCCUGUGGCUGACCACUCCAACCAUCUCGGCAGAAUCGUUACACAGGAAGAAGUCCGGCUGGCCCCAAGCCUGGUGUGAAAUGAAGAAAUGGCACUCCACAUCAAUUCACGUUUACUUGUCCAUAGCCAGUCUGUUAGCUUAAUUUUUGGUUCUUCCUAUUGAAUUCUCAAGAAAGGUACCAACUCUGUCAUUCAUUGAAAACAAAUUUUUGCACUUGGGGAUGCAGCCAUGGACAAAGCCUUUGAGCUCAUUAAUAUCUUUAUUUUUUAAAGAAAGUGCAGCUCCUGCAUGGAGCAAUAGGUUGAAUAAGACGAGGGUAAAUGAAAAGAUGGCGACAUUAGUCAUCAACAGUUGUCCAACAAAGGAAGUCUCAAGCUGGAGCCAACAUCUUUGCAAGGGAACCAAAUGGCUCCAGCCUGAGACAUUCGUUGUUCAGCCUGGCAAGUCUCCUUGUCGAAAUAUUUCCUCUAGCCUGAGACCUAUAUCCGUUCCACCACCCUCGACCAAUAAUACACCUAUACAUUUGGCAACCCAUGGCAAGGUAACAAAUUCACAUUCAAAGAAAGGGAAUGUAGUGUGCACCUUGGAAGGUAGCAUGAACAGUACUUUAUUUACUUAAUGAAAUGCAGGUUUGCUAUCCAGUUACUUUAUUUUGAUCCCCAUUUUAUAAUUGGACAGCAUGGUUCCUCAGAGAGAAUAAUAUUUCGGAGCUCACACAAUUCUGCUCCUUUAUGUCCAUUAAAUCUGUCCUGGUUGCUACACUAUCAGCCCUGUCUGUAAUUGCAUAGCAGUGUUUUGAGUAUGCAUCCAAAUUCAAAAGAAUAGUUAGGCUUCUACUUCAGAAUGUCUGCUACUGCUUUGCAGCUCGAAUUUUAUAUCUAGGUGGUGACUGUGAUGCCAUGCGCUUUUUAAAUAAGACGAAUAUGCUAUUUGAAGGGCAAUUAAAUGCAAUCUCAAAUGACCUCAGCUCGGGGGAUGACACGAUUGGAGGCCAAUGUGAUAAAGACGAUUUGAUUUCUGAAAACAAGGCACUUAAACGUGAGAAAGCGGGACUAAUUUCGUCUAAAGAUGCUGCUAGUGGAUAUGAUCAGGGAAGGUACUUGUUGAUGGCUGCAUUUGCAAGAUGUUAUAUUGCUGGCUUUAUAUAUUGCACUGGGUACAGUGAAAUGUUGCUGCUUGCACAAUAUUCAACUAAACAUGGUAGCCAUGCUAAAGUGUCCAUGCAGAACACAACUCAUCCACUAUUAUGGACUACAGUGGAAUCUCUAUAAACGAAAAUCGCUUAAGCGAAACUGCCGCUGAAAUAGGACACCAUCCUGAUAGUUGGUUGGCUCUCUGCAAUGUCUCAGUAAAUAGAAUGCCUGGUAAAUGGAACCAAUUUCCCUGGCACCUUGAGGCUUCAUUUAAAGAGCGCCCACUGUAAAAAAAUAGGGGGAUCCUGUUUGGAACUUUCGCAAAUCUAGUCGUAAACAAAACUGCAUUUCAGUGGGAUCGAAAUGCUUUUGGAUUUUUGUGGUAGGCCUCUAAGGUAGGCCUCGAAAUGCGAAAUGGAUUUUUGUGGUAGGCCUCUAAGGCAAGCCGCGCAUGCUCAUUCUUGCUUUUGCAGAGAAUCGAAGUCCCGUCAAGUUGUGCCUCACAAUUGUUGCAAAAGUUUAUAUGCGCACCAAGGUGCGCUUCUCUAUCUACAUUUCUGUUUACUUUUUGCACAUGUUCCCUGAAUCGCUCGUUGACGCAAUGCCCUAUCUAGCCAAGCUAUGUCUUACCACAUGAGAGUGGAAUGGUAUAAACCACGGCGACAGUGCACAACACGUAUGAAGCACCAUGCCGAAUUUGGCAUCCUCCUCUGUUCUCUCUGCAGGUGCGGGAGCAUAGCUUUACAAGCUUGUUCGGUGCAGAAAACGCCAAAGGAACACUAUGCCUGCAAGCAACUUUCUUGAGUUGAUAGAUGACCUUAUGUGUUUAAGGGACCACGCAGGGACCAUGCGCAAAAAGUAAACAAAAAUGUAGAUAGAGGAGUGCACCUUGUUGCGCAUAUAAACUCUUGCAAAAAUUGUGAGGCACGACUUGAUAGGACGUCGAUUCUUGGCAAAAGCAUGAAUGAGCUUGCGCGGCUUGCCUUAGAGGCCUACCACAUAAAAAGGCAAGGUGAUAAUUGCAUCAGUGACAUAGCUUUGUCCCUGCACCCAUCUGAAUUUGACUUCCUAUGUUUGCAUAUGUGAUAAUUUGGUAGAUCUCUGUAAUGUAAUGUGUGCGCCUGUGCAGUUGUGCGGCCUAGGGCUUAUAUAUGCAUCGAUGACGAAGAAAUAAAGAAGUUGUCAGUUAGUGCCAGCGUGUGUCGUAUUUGCCUUUUGUGGUCCGUCUUAGGUGUUUGCGCUGUAAGUGUUAAGUUCAGAAUUAUGUACCAACUAGGCCCAAAUUUACUGUUAGUCAAGCGAGCUCAAUAUAUAGUCUGUGCAAAAGUGUGGAGUGUCAGUACAAAGUAACAGUUCAAACACAUGGCUCUGUAGUUACAGUUCACUAUGAAAUGAGGUAAGAUAUCUUAGCAUUUCUUUCAUUUACUAAUUUCAUUGUGUUAGGACAUGUGGAAUACGAGUAACUGGCAUGCUUACAAUGUACAGUGUUUUUUUUAAAUCCAGACAAUUGUUUUACUCGGGCAGAAAUGUGCUUUCUUUUGGGCCCGGAAGUGAACAUAUUAUAUUUCUUACAUUUGGCGUCAAAUAAAUUUUCUUCACUGCCA